UACGGAGGGGACUAGCGUUGUUCGGAAUUACUGGGCGUAAAGCGCACGUAGGCGGAUUUGUAAGUCAGGGGUGAAAUCCCGGGGCUCAACCUCGGAACUGCCUUUGAUACUGCAAAUCUCGAGUCCGGAAGAGGUGAGUGGAAUUCCUAGUGUAGAGGUGAAAUUCGUAGAUAUUAGGAAGAACACCAGUGGCGAAGGCGGACUCACUGGUCCGGUACUGACGCUGAGGUGCGAAAGCGUGGGGAGCAAACGGG
rnacentral:rRNA from 1 species